rnacentral:rRNA from 1 species
GAUGAACGCUGGCGGCGUGCCUAAUACAUGCAAGUCGAGCGAACAGACGAGGAGCUUGCUCCUUUGACGUUAGCGGCGGACGGGUGAGUAACACGUAGGUAACCUACCUAUAAGACUGGGAUAACUUCGGGAAACCGGAGCUAAUACCGGAUAAUAUUUCGAACCGCAUGGUUCGAUAGUGAAAGAUGGCUUUGCUAUCACUUAUAGAUGGACCUGCGCCGUAUUAGCUAGUUGGUAAGGUCACGGCUUACCAAGGCAACGAUACGUAGCCGACCUGAGAGGGGGAUCGGCCACACUGGAACUGAGACACGGUCCAGACUCCUACGGGAGGCAGCAGUAGGGAAUCUUCCGCAAUAGGCGAAAGCCUGACGGAGCAACGCCGCGUGAGUGAUGAAGGUCUUCGGAUCGUAAAACUCUGUUAUGAGGGAAGAACAAACGUGUAAGUAACUGUGCACGUCUUGACGGUACCUAAUCAGAAAGCCACGGCUAACUACGUG